rnacentral:lncRNA from 1 species
GCACUGUUGAAGGUUGAUGGCUGGAGAGGUAUGGAAGACAUCGGAGACAAUCGGUCAUUAUGAAAAUUCGAUUGCUGGAGCCCAUCCGUUUAGAAGUUCAUCUGGAAUCCAUCCGCUGUAGAAGUUCGGAUGGGUCCGAUUCUUGCAGUAGUCCGGAAGGAGGCCGCUUACUACAGAAGCUCGGAUGGAGACCGAUUAUCGUGGAAGCCCGGAUGG